GAUUGACAGACAUACCUUUGCCACAAAGCAACCUAUAUUUGGCAGCGGUCACAAUAUAUAAGCAGCAGCACUAGGAAAGACGCUAGAUCUUUCAUGAUUAUGUGAUAAGUGGUGCAUGGCCGUUCUUAGUUCGUGGAGCGAUCUGUCUGCUUAAUUGCGUUUCGUUAUAUAAAUCUACUGUAGCCUCCCUUACAGGGGGUGAGAGUAAGAUAUGAAAGCAACGAACGAGAUCGCAACCUUUAGUUGACCCUUUAAUACAGGGGGGUCAUAAGCAAAUAAACUAAAGGGACCGCUGCCAAAAAUGCUUAAACCAGAGGAAGGUUGCGGCAAUAACAGGUCUGUGAUGCCCUUAGAUGUUCCGGGCUGCACACGUGCUACAAUGAUCAUUUCACUAAGCAUAAACGUGCAACGGUAGCUUCUUGUUACCCCUAAGAUACCACACAAAGAGGCACUUACGUGUCACGCGUGUGAGUACUCUAAAUCACAACAGCCUCCCCCGAAAGGGAGCUAAGUGGGUAAUCAAUUAGAAGUAAUGAUAUUCCUUGCGUUGCUUUUGCACACACCCAAUAUGAGUGAUGGAACCCUUCGUAUGCGAAUGCGUUGUGCGUAACAUUCACCUUCAUAUGUGCAAUUGUCAAUUCUUGGUGGGGACAGACCAUUGCUAAUUGUUGGUCUCGGGUCUCAACUUGGAAUGCCUCGUACAGGGGGAUCAUCAUCCCCUCUGGGA
rnacentral:rRNA from 1 species